rnacentral:rRNA from 1 species
CAGUCGCCGCGGUAAUACGAAGGGUGCAAGCGUUAAUCGGAAUUACUGGGCGUAAAGCGUGCGCAGGCGGUUUGUUAAGACAGAUGUGAAAUCCCCGGGCUCAACCUGGGAACUGCAUUUGUGACUGGCAAGCUAGAGUGUGGCAGAGGGGGGUGGAAUUCCGCGUGUAGCAGUGAAAUGCGUAGAUAUGCGGAGGAACACCGAUGGCGAAGGCAGCCCCCUGGGCCAACACUGACGCUCAUGCACGAAAGCGUGGGGAGCAAACAGGAUUAGAUACCCCAGUAGUCCCUGUCUCUUAUAC